rnacentral:rRNA from 1 species
UGACACAGUAGGAUAAGCUAAGCACACUGUUGGUUAUGUGUGCCCAAGCAUUGAGGCAGUCAGAGUAGGUAAAUCCGCUUUGAUAAUGCUGGGAUGUGAUGGGGAGCGAAAUUUAGUAGCGAAGUAGCUGAUUUCACACUGUCAAGAAAAGUCUCUAUCGAGGUUAAAGGUACCCGUACCGCAAACCGACACAGGUGGGUGAGGAGAGUAUCCUAAGGCCCGCGAGAGAACUGUUGUUAAGGAACUCGGCAAAAUGACCCCGUAACUUAGGGAUAAGGGGUGCCACCAUCCGGUGGCCGCAGAGAAUAGGCCCAAGCGACUGUUUACCAAAAACAUAGGUUUCUGCUAAGUCGCAAGACGAUGUAUAGGAGCUGACGCCUGCCCGGUGCUGGAAGGUUAA